rnacentral:lncRNA from 1 species
AACAACAACAAAAUUCUCAUAAAACACUGCCUCAUCUAUGUUUGCAACAGAAUUGCAUGAUUACACACGCUACAUUGCAUGGAACAAAACACAAUAUGCUCCACAUGAUUACAUACGGACUGCACGACGACCCCGGACCUGCAAAUAAAAUGCAACGUGAAAACCGAUCACUUGCACAUUUUUCUUCCUGCAAAAAUAAGUAAUCUGAAUGUCAGGAGCAAAGAACAGUGGACCACAUCGCUCUUUGAUUUUUUACUUAAGGAUGAAAAGAUCUUCACCCUGCCCUGGAACCAUGCAAAGGGCAGCAGAGGGUGUGGCUAGUUUUUUCGUCGGAAAAUGAGCUCGCCAUUGCGCCGUUAACCUCCAUGGAUGCCUGUUGGGGAAGGGAGUAGAGGGAUCCGCGACGGAGAUGCAUGGGACGACCCUGCCAUUGUCCAUGCUGGAGAAGCUUCCGCCUGCACCAUCGGCCUCGCCUCUUCUGAAUCGAGGCAUGGAUGGGGCUGCCCAUCGGGGGGAUGGAAGGAGACGACGACCUCAUGUCACCGGACUAUAAGCACGCUCGCCGGUGGACUGGACAUCCAACCGCACCGCAUUGACGCCCCAAGCAAGCUGCAGUUAAAUCUGAAAAAGCAAGAAAACAAUUGAAGGGGAGCAGUGGAUGGCUGAACAUGGAUAUCGCCGUGCUCCUCCCGGUCUGCAGGUGGUGGAGGGGUGGACUGUGUGCCACACCGGGCCGCACUGCACCAGGGGAUGGCCAUGCCACCUUGUAGCCGGAACAGCCAGAUCCGGAGAGGGACGCCGCCCCCAUCUGCCUGGAGCAUACAGAAAACAAAAGAACUUCAUUCAGGUACAGUACCCAUUACCAAAUAGCCAAACUCUAGUUUGGCAGCAAAGUUUGUAAAAAACUGUGGUAAUUGGAAACCACGGUAUCCCCAUGGGUGGGCGAGGAAUACUACAGUUUCUUAAAACCAUUGUUUUUCUCAGUUUUACAUGUGUUUGGCUGGUGUUGUUUUAUUAAAGUUUUGACCUAGUAUUCAGCAUGGACGACUGAGUAAUUAACGGAUGUUAACGGCGGCCGGCGGCAUGCAACCGCCAUGCACUCGUUCGCUCGAUCUAUAGAUGCUAGGAUCCGUAGAAUAUGUCUAUCUCGGUGAGUUUGAUUUCUCUCAUGGUGAAGAGAAGAGAUGGAGACUAGCACGUGGUAAACAAAUCUAACUGAAUCCGUAGGAGAUAUAGUACAUGCACUUUACCAUAUACUAACAGAAAUAGGAAAAAAGAUUGCAGCUGGAUAUUGUUAUCUCGAGUAGACGGCAAUGUCAACUGUGAUGGCCCCGAUCUUUUCUCUCUGCUCUGUCUAGAAAAAAGAGGUCAGGACCUCUUUUCCAUAUACUCCAAAAAGACCAUGGUUUCAAGGAUACCGUGGUUUACAAAACUUUAGUUUUUGCUGAAGCUAAACACAUCAAAGUAUUCAAAACCAUGCUUUUUUUAAGAAACCAUGGUAUUGCCAGAAAACUUUAAAAAAACUUUGCUACCAAACGCAGCCUAAACAAAAGAUAUUUUACAGAGUACGAGAAACUAUAUAUAGUACGAAAGGAAAACAAAAAUUAAUUAUGUCAAGCUAGAUUGUAUAGGUUUCCGACCGUUGAUAACACAUUCAUCUACACGUUUUUAUGUGGACGCAUGCACAUGCAUAAAUCAUCUAGGAAGCUCAAGCACAAGAUGACUUGCAGGUCUGUCAGUGUGUGCACAUAAGAUGAUUUCUCAACACGCUUGCAGGUUCUACAUGCAAGAUGGGGCGAUACCAUUUUGUAGUCAGUAGGAAGAAAAAACACUAUAUCAUUUCAGAUAGUGUGUUUUGAAACUUCUCGUAGCUAGCACCCACUUGCAUAUGUUUCUUUGAGUAGCGAUGUGCCUGAUGAAAGGCAUAACUAAGAGAGCCGUGCUGAUUAUAUGUAGAAGAGACUAGUAAAUAUCAUUGAGAUAUGAACAGACUUACUCGAAUCCUGGUAGCGGGACAUCCGAUCGAGGAAAGUAGCCAAAUAAUUCAGCUUCGGCAAUUCAUCUCGCUAUGGCUGAAGUGCAGCACAUUGUUCUGGACCCUCAAGUUGUAGACACCCUUACCUGGAAUUGCGACACCUCUGUACCUACUCUACUUUUGCCCGCACAAACAAUUUUGUGCGCCGGUGGACUGCACCGAUGAUCGAGACGACAUGCAUCAGCGGACUACAACAUCAGUGAAGAACAAAACAAGAGGAGCAUAGGUGAAAGAGAGCCGGGGCUAUCGUGCACACCGGCGUUAGUGAACUACAGGAGGCGUCAAUGUGCACACGACAGAGCUGCACUGGAGGUUCCAAUGAAAUGCACCAAGAGAGAAAAAAGGAUGAACACAAGAUUUGGAGCCUACUGACGAAUCCCGACGACACCCGCCUCAUAGCACAAAAGUGUACUACACGGGGAGUCUACGAUGGCCACGUGUGCCUGCUAUGUAGACUGCUCUAGGCGUAGUGACAACAGCUCUAGGAGAGGACCCAGCCGACCUGCAAUAGGGAGCAGCCUGGACUGCUUGCCGUUAGUGGAGCAUCGUAGGGAGAGGAGCAGAUGAGGGUGGAGGAAAGGAGGACGCCAGGGCAUCCCCUCGAUCGAGGCAACAGGGAGUCAGGGAGCUUGGAGCUGCAAUCCCGUCAUCUGCGAACUGCACAGACUUGCCGACCGAACUGCACGAGCCAAAGUAGUGAGAGAGAAGGGAGCCUGGGCGCGUCUGAUUUGGCCGAGAGGUGGAAGCAGCAGUCGUUGGGGUCGCCGUCGAUGGAUCAAUGGCGCGUCGGCAGAUCCGGGAUGGGGACGGGGGAGGGAGGUGGAGGUGGAGGUCGGUCCUCGAAUUCCGUCGCCUGGCGGCAUGGUAGGGCAAGAACCGACCGGAUCCCGUUACCGGGGAGGCGCGGGGAGGGGGGAGGNNN